rnacentral:rRNA from 1 species
AUUGAACGCUAGCGGGAUGCCUUACACAUGCAAGUCGAACGAGUGGCGGACGGGUGAGUAAUGUAUGGGAACGUGCCCAAUAGAGGGGGAUAACUACUGGAAAGGGUGGCUAAUACCGCAUACCAUCGGAGCGGCCGAGAUGGGAUUAGCUAGUUGGUGGGGUAAAGGCUCACCGAGGCAACGAUCCGUAGCUGGUUUGAGAGGACGACCAGCCACACUGGGACUGAGACACGGCCCAGACUCCUACGGGAGGCAGCAGUGGGGAAUAUUGCACAAUGGGCGCAAGCCUGAUACAGCCAUGCCGCGUGUAUGAAGAAGGCCUUCGGGUUGUAAAGUACUUUCAGCGGGGAGGCGUUACUCGCAGAAGAAGCACCGGCUAACUCCGUGCCAGCAGCCGCGGUAAUUC